UGAUCUAUAAGCUAAGACUUACUAGAAUUAUUCAUUUGUGUAUGGUGGCAUGGUUUGUCUCUUAUUUGUCUGAGUUGCGUUAGUUACUUAUGUAGUUUCAUUGGGAUUGUGUAGGCAGCGGUGAGUGCUUCGGCAACUAGUUACUUAUGUUCUUUUCUCGUUUCUUCUCCUAUUUAUUCAAUGGCUUUUGAUUCCCCUUUACUUGUUUCUUUUAGUUUGGUUGCAAAAUAUACUAAACUGAUGUGUUAAUGUUGUGCAGCGUUUGUGUGCUACAGGAUUAUUUUAUAAGCUAUGAAGUUUUGGACAAACUUAUAAGCUAUGAGGUUUGGCACAUCUCUCAUUCUCUUCAUUCUCAAACAUAGAAAAUCCACACAAAGGUUCAAGUUAUUGAUAUCCAUCUAGUCUAAGGUAAACUCAAAUACCCCUCUUAUGUCCAAUAACUUAUAAAAGUUAGGUUUGAUAAUAAUGUCUAUAUAGUGUACAAUUUGAUAUGUUAUGUUAUCUAUGACUACCGGUGAGUUUGUCUUACCACCACAAUAGAUGUAAAAUAUUGUAGCUACUGGAAAUGGUUUCAUCUUACUCUUAUUCUUUUCCUUCAUUUUCUUUAUUCAUACAGUAUUUCAGCAAUAAUAAAGAUUGGUAAUGGAAUGAAGGACCAUACUAUAUAGUCCUCUGACUAUUUAAAUUACUCUUCAUAAAUGUAGUUUAUUUUCUUCAUACAAUUCCAACCUUUUUUAUGUUUAAUUUUUGCAGAGUGUACAGGUUGAUACAGAGACAUAUACUUGCAACUGUUUGUUUUGGAUAAAUAUGAUACUUUCAGUUUGGUAUCAAGUUAAUGCACAAUUAGGCUUCACAAUGAUUCACGUAAAUGUGUUUAAAUGUAUUUAAAUUAGGCUUCAUUUGAGGCUCAAGUCG
rnacentral:lncRNA from 1 species